rnacentral:rRNA from 1 species
CCUACGGGAGGCUGCAGUGAGGAAUAUUGGUCAAUGGGCGCUAGCCUGAACCAGCCAAGUAGCGUGAAGGAUGACUGCCCUAUGGGUUGUAAACUUCUUUUAUAUGGGAAUAAAGUGCAGUAUGUAUACUGCUUUGCAUGUACCUUAUGAAUAAGGAUCGGCUAACUCCGUGCCAGCAGCCGCGGUAAUACGGAGGAUUCGAGCGUUAUCCGGAUUUAUUGGGUUUAAAGGGAGCGUAGGCGGGUUGUUAAGUCAGUUGUGAAAGUUUGCGGCUCAACCGUAAAAUUGCAGUUGAUACUGGCAGCCUUGAGUACAGUAGAGGUAGGCGGAAUUCGUGGUGUAGCGGUGAAAUGCUUAGAUAUCACGAAGAACUCCGAUUGCGAAGGCAGCCUGCUGGACUGUAACUGACGCUGAUGCUCGAAAGUGUGGGUAUCAAACAGGAUUAGAUACCCUUGUAGUC